UUGGUGAAGCAAACAGCCUUACAUGAUGUGAGUAGUCCUUGUGCCCAGUUGAAGCCAUGAGUAAAACAAAGUCUGACGUAGCCUUGAGCAAGAGAGAACUCUACCUCCAGACAACUUCGGGGGCAGGUGCAAAGUUAGCGCUGCCCUGGGUCUCUAGCUGCCAGCUUCCCCAACAGGCUCCAGGCGCCCCAAGCCCCACAAUCAAGGAAUCCAGUUUCUAAAAUUAACCUACCUCUCUCUUUUCCCCUCCCUCCUCCCGCUCUUCCUCACUCUUCCUCCCGCUAGUUCUGUGGCCCUGCAGACCCCUGACUGAACUAACAGAGUUGGGGAGAAUGAGCUGUAAAAAGGGGAGCUUUUCUGUCCUUUCACUUUGCACUGAAGCCCCAUCCAUCCUCCCUUUCUGCUUGCCAUGGUAAAUGGUGUCCAACGUAUCACAGAUGCACUGUGCACUGGAGAGGCAGAGCAUCCUGCCUUCCACAGCCGUGCACACCGAGGUACCAGGGAACACCAGGAACUGGUGAGUUCCUGUGCAGCAAGUGGCCACCCACCCAGCGACUCGACAUGAUGUGCUUAUCAAAAUCUCUGUUUCUGUGGGCCAGAGCCAAAUCCAGCAGAGCCCCAUCCUGAAUGCCCAGCAGUGCCCACAGCAAGGAGAAGCAUUCGAUGUGUGACGACUCAUCUCCUGCAUCAGAUAUUCUCUAAAGGAAUUCUCCCUGCAGGAGGCGCUGUCGAACCUUGGAGCGUGUCUGACCUUGGAGAUCACCAGCAGAACAUGGAGUGUGGGCAGGGUUCAAAGAAGUCUGAGUUCAGAGUGCAAGAGUGUGUGUGCCCAAGUGCUGGGGGAACUGCAGGGCGCGCUGCAGGAGAAGGCAAAUCACAGGGUACAGGCGCAGAGGCUGAGAGCGCUCCGCAAAGUUCACACAGAUGGCAUAGUCUGUGACCGACAGCUACAGGUCCUUGCGGUGACAGUGACAGAAACAGGGCUCUCUCUGCACAGAGGCACUACUGCAGGAGAGCGGUGUGAGAGGACUUGAUAGACUGGACGGGCAGAAACACAGAUGCUGUUCCAAAGAGUGGAGGUCACCA